UCUGAUUUCUUUUUUAAAUUUAUAAAUGUUUUUAUUAUAUAUUUUAUUUAAAAAAUAAAACUUCUAAUUAACAUAAAUUAUUAAAUAAAAAGGAAUAUCAAUUUUACUAAUGAUAAUUAUAUGCAAUAUUUUUAAUUUAUUAAGGAUGACUCAGUAAUUAAUCAUCCUAAGAACAGAAAAACUGAUUUAUCAAAUAAUAUUAUAGAGAUAGAGGCAUGAGCGAUCAGGUCUUCGGAUCGGCUUCUAGCCAUUUUCUUUUGGGUUUGGGUCCUUCGGGUCCUAAACAUUAAGACCCAAUAGGUACUUAAAAAUUUUUGGUCCGGUUUCGGAUCGGUUCUUCUCGGGUCUGAGUCGGUUCGGGUCUAUAACUAAAAUACCCAUAAAAUACCCGUAAUUGUUCAGGUGCGGGUCGGGUUAGAGUAUCUAGGAUAUGAAAAGGACAUGACCUACCCAACUCCUUCAAAUUUGGUCGAUAUUUUAUAUAUAUAUCUAAAAUUUUACAAAAUAACUUAAAUGAAACUAUUAAUAACUAAAAUAAAAAAAAUUUAAAUUCUAAACUUUACAUUUUAAAGGUUCAUAUUACUUAAAAAUGUUACAAAAUAAUAACAAAUAUUAGUAAUAAAAGAUAUUUCAACUAAAUUAUAAAAUAAUAUAUAUAAAAUAGAACACAAAAUAUCAUAGUUUUGGAUAUACAAGUUUUUAAGUUGGGUACAGAUCGGUUUUUACCGGGUCGGAUCUAUUCGGAUCGGUUCUUUACGGAUCCGGGUCUAUUCGGGUCGGUUCCUUUCGGUUCCAGUGCUUUUGGGUAAAAAUAAUUUAGACCCAAAAGAUACUUAUAAAUUUUCGGUUCGAUUUCACGUCGGGUAUUUUCGGGUCAGUUCCAGUUGGGUUUCCGGGUCCAGGUUAAAAUGUCCACGCCUGUUAAGCAAAACAAUAAAUUACAUUAUAAAUAUUGGAAUUUUUCUAUUUUAAAUAUAUCUUAUAUUUUGUUAUUACCAUAAACAUGUGAGAUAGAUAUUAGAAGAAAAGUAAAACAUGACAGUUGGUCAUAAUAAGUUUAAUUUACUAAAUUCGACCUCAUAAUGACCUUUUUACCAAUUUGCUCCACUAUAUAUAUAUAAGGGAAUAGAAGAGUUUAAGAUCAGGAUUAACGCUGAAACCCCUUUUUUAUUUUAUUUUUAUUUUUUUUAUUUUUUUUUGUCUGAGUAAUAAAAAAAUUAAAAACCAACCAAUUGUGGGCCGCCACGUGUCAGUGGGACCCGCAAACAGUUCAAAAACUCACCAAACAGCGUUCCUUAUUUUGGCUUUCCUUUAACCGAUUUUUCCCUUUUUUGUAGCCCCCACCCCCACCUAAAAACCCCACUAAAAACCACUUUUUCCCCUCCCGUUAAGGACUAUGCUGUAAAUACUAUUAGUCUAAACCCUACUGUCGUUUCUAUAUAUUGUAAAUCUCUGUACAAUAUCAAUAUACAACAUUCCAUAAUAAUAUACACGCUCUUAAUACACACAUAUAUUCGAAUCUGUGUGGUGCGCAUUGAUUAUAUUUCUAAGGCUUUUCAAAUAUUCAGUUACCGUAUUUUAACAUUCUUUCCUUUAAAUUCUGGAUUGCUUUGGGUUAUAAGGUUGGGAUUUCCUUGUGGUGGAUUCAAAUUUUAAACGUGGAAAAUGGCUAAGGAGUACAAUGAGGCGUUGUUGGAGAAGCACUACCACGAGGGAUGUCCUGGUUGCAAAGUGGAGAAGAUGAAGGAGGUCCGUCGAGGAUAUCCUUACCUGGAGCUCUCCUUCAUCUGGAUCGUAAUACUCUCCACAUGUAAGUUUGUCUUCCUCUUCUUUCGUGGGCUAUUAGUAACGAUUCUAGGGCUGGGACUUCGGAUAUUCGGUUCGGGUUCGGAUAAGAUCCGAUCGGGUCCGGGUUUUUCGGAUAAAUGAAUUCUAUACCCAAUGGGUACUUAGUAAAUUUCGGUUCGGGUUUCGGAUCGGGUACUACCGGUUUCGGGUCGGUUCCGGGUACCCGUUUCUUAUGUGAAUUAUAUAAAUAUUUACAAAAUAAAAUAAUUAUAUACCAGUUUUUUAUUUAUUUAUUUUAUUUUUUUAAAAAAAGUUAAUAGAAAUCGUAUAUAUAUUAGUAAUAUGUAUUAAAUACAACGAAGUUGAACUAGUCUAGUGGUAUUGCAGUUGUUGCUUUGCCUAUCCAACCCGGGUUCAACCCUCGAAAGAUACAAAUCUAUGUUUUUUAAGCAUAGAAUUCGGGUUAAACGGGUACCCGUUCGGUUUCGGGUAAAAACCGGAACCGAACCGAUACCCAUGGAUAAUUAACACUAAUACCCAUCGGAUAAAUUGCCUAGAACCGAAACUGAACCGAACCGGUCCAUUUCGGGUCGGUUCUGGUUCGGGUAUUCGGUUAUGGAUAAAAAUCCCAGGCCUAAACGAUUCUCUAAGCAAGCCUCUCAUAUGAAUUUUCUUGUAUGUUGUGCAGCUCUCUUCCCAUUUCUUCAUUGUACCCCUUCCUCUAUUACAUGGUGAAUCUUCUUAAUUUCUUAAGAUAGGCUGUCUUCCAAGACCGUUCUUUUGUUGUCUCUCUUACAUGUCUCUAUUUUUACAGAUUGAAGACUUUGGUGUUGCCAAGACAGAGAAAGACAUUGGAUAUUAUGCUGGCUUUAUAGGUGAGAUUAUAACUUGUAAGUUUGUGCAUUGUUGUCUCUCAAUUAUCUCUACUGAUUUGAUGUCCUUUUUUGCGACUUACAAGCGUGCGCAUUCAUGUUUGGACGAGCACUGACAUCAAUUUUCUGGGGAAUAAUGGCUGAUCGAUAUGGAAGAAAGCCUAUCAUUCUCUUGGGAACCAUCACAAUGUGAGUGUAUUUUCUUUUUACUGUUUUUUAUCUCCCGUUUUUUUUCUUACUAACUGGCUUGGGUGGCUGUUGUAGUGCUGUGUUCAAUGCUCUGUUUGGCAUGAGCACGAACAUUUGGAUGGCAAUUGCGACUAGGUUUAUGCUUGGCAGCUUUAACUGUCUUGUUGGAACCAUGAAGGGUGACACUCUUAACUCUUAGCUAUAUAUAUAUAUAUAUAUAUAUAAUUUUUUAUUUUUGUUUUUUGUUUUUCAUACAUUUGUCUGUUCUAAUAUUAUAGUGUAAAAUUUGUAGGCAUAUGCUUCCGAGAUCUGCCGUGAAGAAUACCAAGCGACGGCAAUGUCAGCUGUCAGCACGGCUUGGGGAAUUGGCCUCAUCAUUGGCCCAGUUCUAGGAGGAUUUUUAGCACAGGUAAAGUUUGAUCAUAUUAUCUGUCUAAAUACUUGAACCCUGUCCAUCUCUCCUUCGGAUCAUUUUUUACUGUCUGAUUAAUGCACAUUCAUUGUUCUCAGCCUGCAGACAAAUAUCCGAGUGUCUUCUCCAAAGAAUCCAUCUUUGGCAGGUUGGUUUUAUUAAUAUCUGUUUAGUGUAAUGUGUAUAAUGGAAUACUCAUGGCACUGCAAUGCAGGUUCCGUUAUGCCUUGCCAUGUUUUACGAUAUCAGCUUUCGCUCUGGUCGUGACAGCACUGUGCUGUUUCAUUCCGGUAAUCUAUUAUUCCUUCAUUGUCUAGUCUUCCUUUCUAAAAAAAGAUACUAUUAAUUAUUACAUUUCUUAAGAGUUCUCUAACGGAUGUUCUAUGUAUCUUAGGAAACACUUCACAACCAUGAGCUGGAUAAUAAGACUUCAGAUGAUGACUCAGUUGAAGCACUUGAAGCUGCAUCUCUUGAAACAACCGGGAUGCCAGGAAACAACAAAAGGGCUUCUCUGUUUAAGAACUGGCCCCUCAUGUCAUCUAUCCUAGUCUAUUGCGUUUUGUGUCUGCAUGACACAGUGUAUUCUGAGGUAAUAAAAGAACUAGCAUUAAGACUUUAGGCUUUUGCAAUUAUAGAUCCUUCGCCACUUCAUUAGCUGGCUUGUGCUCUUAGUCUGAACGAAAAUAUUAAUCACUGUUGCAGAUUUUUGCUUUGUGGGCAAAUAGCCCUUGUAAGUACGGAGGUUUGGGAUACUCAACGAAUCAGGUCGGCACUGUUCUCACGAUAUCUGGUAUGUCUUAUCAUUUCACUGCUCUUCUUCAUGUCUUGUGCAUCUGCUUUAACUUGAUUUUUAGUACGUGAGUUAACCAAGCCAUUUUGUUUUAGGUCUUGGCCUAUUCUUUUUUCAGGUCCUCCUCUAUCCAUCAGCCGAUAGACUGCUAGGACCUGUGCAGCUCGCCCGUUUAGCCGGGGCACUGAUGAUACCUGUUCAGUUGAGCUAUCCUUUUAUAGCUCAACUCUCAGGUGUCACUCAAAGCCUUCUUUUGAGCUCUGCUUCUAUCUUAGUCAACGUCUUCAGCGUAGACGAUUUUCUUCCUUUCUCCAUUUCGCAUGUUAAUACAUUGUUUGACACAUUUGAUUUAUGUGUGUGUAGAUCUCUGCCAUAACCGGCAUGGUGAUUCUCCAAAACAGAGCCGUGGUAUGAUUCUUAAAUUCAUCUUUUCCAGUAUUGUUUUCACUAAUUAAUAACUCUCUAACUCUUAUGAAACAACAGGAUCAGCACCAGAGAGGUGCUGCCAAUGGACUUGCGAUGACUUCCAUGUCACUCUUCAAAACAGUUGGACCAGUUGGUGCUGGAAUACUGUAAGUCAUUUCUCCAUUUAACACAAAAUAGAUAGGUUUUCAUCAUUUCAUGUCUUAAACUCACUUAACUUGUUUUUUUGCUUGACAGUUUCUCUUGGACUGAAGGGAGAAAAGAUGCUCCUUUCUUACCAGGACCCCACAUGCUCUUCUUCUUUCUUAACCUGAUGGUCAUUGUAGGAGUAUCUCUUACCUUCAAGCCUUUUCUGGUCACAGCUAGAAGGUGAACUUCAGUGAAAGUGGUGCUAGGAAGAUGUACGGAUUCGUGGUUGCGUCCUUUUAAUUCUAGUUCGAAAUAAACCUUAGGAUUUCCAGUUUCUUUAUUUCCUUGUCUUGUGUGAUUGAAGUUAUCGGUUUGCUACUGUAAUCAGAUUUCCUUCGGUUAUCGUUUUAAUAUAAAUUUCUUUUGUUUGUCGUCUCAAUUUAAAUUUUAUUGCUUUUAUUUCAACCAGACUUGCAAAGUGAACGAAAGCUUUCUUCGACAAAGUGAUGAUUUAAGAUUAUCUGCAAUCGUUUGCGCCAAAAGAAUAAGGAGAGGAUUAAUUGUCAUAAUCACGAAGAAAAAGUACACCAUGAAGCUUGUGCCUGCUAUUAAAGUCUCUCUAAAAUCGUAAAAGGCACAUCUCCCUAGAUAGUUCCUAGAGAAAUUUGGAUACAUAACCAUAAUAAGGCACCACAAAAUUAAGUUUGUAGAGGCUAUGGUUUCUUACACCAAAAAAAAACUUAUUCGAAUCUUUUAUAUAUCUUUAAAAUAUAGAUUAUUUUUGUAUAUAUUUUGAAUUGAAUAUGUACAUUUAUAAUAAGAUUAUGUUUUAUUCUAUUUAUGAAAACUAGAAUGAUAUUAUUAUCAAUCUUUUUUUCUUCCAUCUCUUUUUCUCUCUCCCAUAUGUCGUUCUUUCUCUCCAUCCUUAGUUUUACUCUCUCUAAUAUAUAAUGUUCAAAUAAUAUAUUGUUGUAAUUUUAAUCUAUUUUACGAAACAUACGAUAGAAUCGUAAGUACUCUCUCUCUCUCGUUUUUUUCUUUAUCAUCCCAUCCUUUUUCAUACUUCUAUUUCUAUUUGUCAUCCUCUUUUUUUUUCCUAUAUUUUUACAUAUACACCGUACUAUUUCAUAUAUACCAUACAUUUCCCCAUUUUCAUCUCUCCUUAUUCUUCUUUUUAAUUCCCUAUAUAUGUUUAGCUACUAUACUCCCUUUGUUUCCAAUUGUAGGUAGUUUUAGUAAAAAAAAAAUUAUUUCACAAUAUAAGUAGUUUACAUAUUUCGAUGCACCUUUUUAAUUUAUUGGAUAUUAUGUGACCAUUGAAAUAAUGUUAGAUUUUUUAUAAAUGGUUGAAUUUAUUGAUUAAAUGAUAUAGAUAUUUUAAAAUAACAACUUUCUUAAUAUUAGUGUUUUUAGGUAAAACUACUUAUAUCUUAAAACAGAAGGAGUAAUAAUUAGUCAAAAAAUAUAGAAUAGUAAAUUUUUGUUCUUUGGAAUAUAUCAGUCAAAUAUGUUCUUUCACAUAAUAUAAUAUACACUAAACAUUAGUCACACGAAUAAAUAGGUACUUUCAUAUUGUCUACUACUUAAGCUGCAUUGAACUCUAUAAAUAAAUAAUAUUAUAAAAAUGAUAUUAUAAUUUGUUAUAACAUCAUGGUUAAAACGAUAUUCUAUAUCGCCGUUGUAAAUAGAAUGGCAUAUAACUGUAGUGUGUAAUAUACGCACGCUCACUCACCGCAAAAGUCUGUAAUGUCUAUUUAUGUGGCAAAGUGACACAUUUUUCGAGGCAUGGCUAUAUGGUUAAUCUUUUCUCUGCUAUGGUUAUACACCAAAUCCACCCUAGUUUCUAUCUACUUGGUUUCAGCUUCUGGUUUUUACUUUUAAGUGUGUUUUUUUAAUUAAUUUUUUCAAAGUAAAACCAUCUUUUUGUUACUUGCUUUCUUAAAUUUAAAUAAAGACUGAAAUGUUUUACAAGCCUUUGGAAACUAACCAGAAAACUUAAUUAAGAAAAUCCCUUUGUAAAGUUAAGGGAAUAAUCGAUGAUGAAGUUAUAGACGGUGGAGGAAAGUCGAAGGCGAUGAAGGUAGUCAAUCCAAACGAAUCCAUCUCUGCAUCAUUUGUGAGGAUCGAGUCGGAUUAGUUUCUCUGGAGCUUUGAAUCUUGUUCCUCAGUUGAUGAUCCAUCAGCUUGAAGAUCUGAUCCGAAGAACUGAAGGUAUUUGCAUGCAGGCGGCCAUUUCUCUCAUUCAAGAGCCAAUACAUAGUUGCUUGCCAAGCGAGGAUGGUCAAAUUUCUUUCCGAAUUUGGUGGAGGGAGAGUUCAGAGUUGUCAUCUGUGCAAAACUGUCAGUCCAUGCUCGUUGAUGUAUUAGUCGAAGUCUUCUAAUCACCAUCUUCCAUAGAUCAUAACUGUACAUACAAUAGAAAUAGAGGUGAUCCCUUGAUUCUCGUGUGGGGUUGCAGAGAAGGCAGCAAUCGUCUGUUUGGAUCCCCAACCUGAUCAGUCUAUCACGCGUUGGAAUUCUUUCUUGAAUCACUAACCAUGAAUGGAAACUAUGACCUAGAAUUGCUCUGGAGAACCAAACAGCAUAAGCCUAUAUGACAUCUGGUUGGGGUUCACUAAGGCAUAGAGCUGCAGUUGAGGCUCAGAUCGAGCUGGAGGAAGGCCUCCAAGUUCCAUUAGAAUACAAAGAAGAGACUGUGGCAAGUUGAUGAUACAUAAUCUAGAGCUGGACCCAGAGAGAUAGUGUGAAGAUCGCUAAAAGGUGACCAAUUGUCAGUCCAGAACCUUGCUAAUUCCCCAUUCUGAAGCUGAAGCUUAAUCAAGGGGAAAACAAGAUGCUUGAGUUUUAGAAGCUUGUUGACUAGACGUGAGAAAGAUUUUCGUGGAGGCGUGGUCGAAUAAUUAUGCAGAGAGCCUUUGAGUAUCACCUUCUUAAAUCAUUGGACCCAAGCUGAGCCAGGUCAAAAAAAAAAUAACAAUAUUAGACAAAGAUUGCAUGCCUUAUUCCAUGAUAGUAGGUCUUUAAUUCCAAGCCCUACUUACCUUUUAGUAUACCAAUGUUUCCCAGGAGACUCUAGCUGAGUUAUGACCUUCAAUAUUACCCU